GAAAGGGGCAUGCUGCUCCAGGAGGGUCCACAUGGGGAAACACCAGGAUUGGUCAGGACCAGAGAGGAAGGGGAACUGCUUCACCCUGAAGGGGCAGUCCCUCCAGGAUCAGCAAGGCCCCAGAUGUCAAAACAUCAGAAUAUGGAAAUUAAAACCAUGCCUGGAGGGAUCACAAAUGGAACACCUCCAGUGGCCAUCUUUCCCACCAUGCAGAAAGAGCCUGCCUGGGAGUGAAAUAAUGGAGAAGGAAGCCAGCUCAGAGAGGCAGGAGAGAGCUCAGUGACCAGCAGGAGGUUCCCCCAAGCCUGGACUUUAAGCAAAGUUUCUGAUGUUUAUGACAGGAAGACUCUAAAAUAUACGGCUUAAAAUCAUCUUUCCCCUCCUUGUUACGCACAGCUCUUCCAUAUUUGGGGCCAAGGCUUUAUAAACACAGGCUGGUACAACGUCGGGGCACUGAAAUAAUAAACAAAUAUUCACAGGCA
ensembl:lncRNA